AACGGGUGCGUAACACGUGAGCAAGUUGCCGAUCAGUGGGGAAUAGCCGGCCCAACGGCCGGGUAAUACCGCAUACGUUCACCGCCUGGCAUCUGGUGGUGAAGAAAGCUCCGGCGCUGAUCGAGACGCUCGCGGCCUAUCAGCUAGUUGGUGAGGUAACGGCUCACCAAGGCGACGACGGGUAGCUGGUCUGAGAGGAUGGCCAGCCACAUUGGGACUGCGACACGGCCCAGACUCCUACGGGAGGCAGCAGUGGGGAAUAUUGCGCAAUGGACGAAAGUCUGACGCAGCGACGCCGCGUGAGGGAUGAAGCUUUUCGGAGUGUAAACCUCUGUUGCCCGGGACGAACAUCCUCUUUCGAGAGGACUGACGGUACCGGGUGAGGAAGCACCGGCUAACUCUGUGCCAGCAGCCGCGGUAAUACAGAGGGUGCGAGCGUUGUCCGGAAUCACUGGGCGUAAAGGGCGCGUAGGUGGCUUGGUAAGCGUGUGGUGAAAGCUCGGGGCUCAACCCCGAGUCUGCCGUGCGAACUGCCGAGCUUGAGCAGAGUAGAGGCAGGUGGAAUUUCGGGUGUAGCGGUGGAAUGCGUAGAGAUCCGAAAGAACACCGGUGGCGAAGGCGGCCUGCUGGGCUCUUGCUGACACUGAGGCGCGACAGCGUGGGGAGCAAACAGGAUUAGAUACCCUGGUAGUCCACGCCGUAAACGAUGAGUACUAGGUGUCUGGGGGAGCGACCCCCUGGGUGCCGGCGCUAACGCAUGAAGUAC
rnacentral:rRNA from 1 species